rnacentral:lncRNA from 1 species
UCAUGAAAGUUGUACGUAACCACGUUUCUUUUCCUGUUUUGAUAUAUAGAUGUUUAGAGCCAAGUUUGGGGCUAACCUGUUGCAGGCUCCCUUUUUGGUGCAUACUACAGAAACAACUCAACUGCCUUCAGCAAAGUAUGGAAUUUGGUGACUUAUCCCUGGAAAGUCCAGAGGUGGAGCUGGCCUCAAGUAUGGCUGAGUAGUUCAAAUGGUGCCAUUGGGGUUUUCUUCCAUGUCUUGUGACUCUGUUUGUCUGUAUUUCUUUCUGUAUGUUUGGCUCAUUCUGUACUACUGCAACAAGCUUCCUCUGCAAGAAAGACAACUACAUGCAGCUGUAGCCAACAUUCCUGUGGCCACAUAACCCCAAAGGAAAGAGACCAACUUCCCC